rnacentral:rRNA from 1 species
GCAUAUCAAUAAGCGGAGGAAAAGAAACCAACAGGGAUUGCCUAGUAACGGCGAGUGAAGCGGCAACAGCUCAAAUUUGAAAUCUGGCGUAAGCCCGAGUUGUAAUUUGUAGAGGAUGCUUCUGGGUAGCGGCCGGUCUAAGUUCCUUGGAACAGGACGUCAUAGAGGGUGAGAAUCCCGUAUGUGACUGGCUUGCACCCUCCACGUAGCUCCUUCGACGAGUCGAGUUGUUUGGGAAUGCAGCUCUAAAUGGGAGGGUAAAUUUCUUCUAAAAGCUAAAUACCGGCCAGAGACCGAUAGCGCACAAGUAGAGUGAUCGAAAGAUGAAAAGCACUUUGGAAAGAGAGUUAAAAAGCACGUGAAAUUGUUGAAAGGGAAGCGCCCGCAACCAGACUUUGCGGCGGUGUUCGGCUGGUCUUCUGACCGGUUUACUCGCCGCCGUGAGGCCAUCAUCGUCUGGGACCGCUGGAUAAGACCUGAGGAAUGUAGCUCCCUUCGGGGUGUGUUAUAGCCUCUGGUGAUGCAGCGCGUCUCGGGCGAGGUCCGCGCUUCGGCAAGGAUGAUGGCGUAAUGGUUGUCGGCGGCCCGUCUUGAAACACGGACCAAGGAGUCUAACAUCUAUGCGAGUGUUCGGGUGUCAAACCCCCUACGCGUAAUGAAAGUGAACGGAGGUGGGAACUUUUUGUGCACCAUCGACCGAUCCUGAUGUCCUCGGAUGGAUUUGAGUAAGAGCAUAGCUGUUGGGACCCGAAAGAUGGUGAACUAUGCCUGAAUAGGGUGAAGCCAGAGGAAACUCUGGUGGAGGCUCGCAGCGGUUCUGACGUGCAAAUCGAUCGUCAAAUUUGGGUAUAGGGGCGAAAGACUAAUCGAACCCAUCUAGUAGCUGGCUCCUGCCGAAG